AUGCAGCCAUGCCGCGUGUGUGAAGAAGGCCUUCGGGUUGUAAAGCACUUUCAGCGAGGAGGAAAGGUUGUCGGUUAAUACCCGACAGCUGUGACGUUACUCGCAGAAGAAGCACCGGCUAACUCCGUGCCAGCAGCCGCGGUAAUACGGAGGGUGCGAGCGUUAAUCGGAAUUACUGGGCGUAAAGCGCAUGCAGGCGGCCAAGUCAGUCAGAUGUGAAAGCCCCGGGCUCAACCUGGGAAUUGCAUUUGAUACUGCUUGGCUAGAGUCCUUGAGAGGGGGGUAGAAUUUCAGGUGUAGCGGUGAAAUGCGUAGAGAUCUGAAGGAAUACCAGUGGCGAAGGCGGCCCCCUGGCAAGAGACUGACGCUCAGAUGCGAAAGCGUGGGGAGCAAACAGGAUUAGAUACCCUGGUAGUCCACGCCGUAAACGAUGUCUAUUAGGAGUCUGUGGCCUUGAGCUGUGGGUUCCAAAGCUAACGCAUUAAAUAGACC
rnacentral:rRNA from 1 species